ACUGGCAACUUGGAGAAGUGGCAAGUCUUCCAGUAUGGGGAGCAAACAGCUAUGGGUCAAGCCCGAUACCUUUAAGAGAAGUCUUAUUGUGAGGGCGAGUUGUAUAACACCAUAGGGCUGGCCGUCCCAUAUGAAAAGAUUUUAUUAGAAUUGAAUGAAACUUUGUUUAUAUAUUGAUAAUGACAGUAUAUAUAUCGUGUCUUGACUAAUUGCGUGCCAGCAGUCGCGGUAAUACGUAAGAGACUAGUGUUAUUCAUCUUAAUUAGGUUUAAAGGGUACCCAGACGGUCUAUAUAGCUUAUAAAAUGUUAGUAUAAGACUAGAGUUUUAUGUAAGAGGGCAGUACUUGAGGAGGAGAGAUGAAAUUUCGUGAUACCAAAGGGACUCUGUAAAGGCGAAGGCAGCCCUCUAUGUAAAAACUGACGUUGAAGGACGAAGGCACAGAGAACAAACAGGAUUAGAUACCCAAGUAGUCUUUGCAGUAAAUGAUGAAUGCCAUAGGUUAGAUCUAUAUUUCUAUUAUAAUAAUACAUUUCUAUUAUUUAUUAUAAAACGCAUUCCUUAUAUAGCUUCCGCUAUAAUAUAUUUUAUAUAUAGUGCAGCAGAAAUUUUUGUAUCUGGUCUAUAAAUGAAAGUGUAAGCAUUUCACCUCAAGAGUAAUGUG
rnacentral:rRNA from 1 species